AUUGAACGCUGGCGGCAGGCCUAACACAUGCAAGUCGAACGAGUGGCGGACGGGUGAGUAAUGUCUGGGAAACUGCCUGAUGGAGGGGGAUAACGACGGGAAACGGUCGCUAAUACCGCGUACCAUAGGAUGAGCCCAGGUGGGAUUAGGUAGUGGGUGGGGUAAUGGCCCACCAAGCCGACGAUCCCUAGCUGGUCUGAGAGGAUGACCAGCCACACCGGGACUGAGACACGGCCCGGACUCCUACGGGAGGCAGCAGUGGGGAAUAUUGCACAAUGGGGGCAAUCCUGACGCAGCCAUGCCGCGUGAAUGAAGAAGGCCUUCGGGUUGUAAAGUCCUUUCGGUGAGGAGGCGUUACUCACAGAAGAAGCACCGGCUAACUCCGUGCCAGCAGCCGCGGUAAUUC
rnacentral:rRNA from 1 species